rnacentral:lncRNA from 1 species
CAUAGAACUGCAGUUAGUCUCUUUAUUUGGGUAUUCAGUAGUUUCUAAAGCACUGUGUCUCAUUUAUCCAAGUUCCCGUGACACGCCAUCAUCACCCAAUGAACAGGCUAUUCUUGGACAUUGGAAGAAGCUUGUCUUGGGCAAUAGAGAACACUGUUGGGGCCAGGAGGCCUCUUCAAACCAAGAAAUAUUUCUUUGGUGGAAAAAAAUGUAAAAUCGUGCUGGUGAUUGGGUGACAGACCUGGAGUGAAGUCAUUUUGAAGCUGUGUGGAAUUGGAUGAGGGGCUGAAACAGAAGCCAGCAAGAUGAAGAAAAAUGGGAUUCUCUGAAAGCCCGCUUUUGUGUCCCUUUUGUCAGGAACUGACAGUAUUAUUUUGGGGGUGUUGGGCAUCACCAGAGUCCCUGAACCUAAACGACUCCAGAGAUAAGGGAGUACAUGCAUCAGCACCCCCACUGUCCAGGAAUCAGAGGAGGAAGUGCCCUUGAAUGAAGCAUGGGCCACAAACCUGGUUAGCAGCCAGGGAGGACACACGCUCUGCAGGCAUCUUAUUUUGGAAACAGCACAGUUUAGCUUCCAUGUCAUCUUUGAAUAUGAGAGAGAAUCCUACUUUGAGCAUGUCCUCAACAGAGAGCAGAGAACCAGGUUUGUUCCUUCAAGAAGUCUCCUAA